CUGUAGUGAUGAUUUACAACCUGAACUCUCUCUUUCUGAUACUUCGUGGAGAAAACGAGAUUUAUAAAUUCUGAGUAGC